UACGAAGGGGGCUAGCGUUGUUCGGAAUCACUGGGCGUAAAGGGCGCGUAGGCGGCCGAUCAAGUCGGGGGUGAAAGCCUGUGGCUCAACCACAGAAUUGCCUUCGAUACUGUUUGGCUUGAGACGGGAAGAGGUAAGUGGAACUGCGAGUGUAGAGGUGAAAUUCGUAGAUAUUCGCAAGAACACCAGUGGCGAAGGCGGCUUACUGGUCCGGUUCUGACGCUGAGGCGCGAAAGCGUGGGGAGCAAACAGG
rnacentral:rRNA from 1 species